rnacentral:rRNA from 1 species
GACGAAGGAUGCAAGCGUUAUCCGGAUUCAUUGGGUUUAAAGGGAGCGUAGGUGGCCUUAUAAGUCAGUGGUGAAAUCUCUGGGCUUAACCCAGAAAUUGCCAUUGAUACUGUAGGGCUUGAGUAUAGUUGCCGUUGGCGGAAUAUGGCAUGUAGUGGUGAAAUACAUAGAGAUGUCAUAGAACACCGAUUGCGAAGGCAGCUAACGAAACUAUAACUGACACUGAGGCUCGAAAGUGCGGGGAUCAAACAGG